rnacentral:rRNA from 1 species
UACGUAGGGUGCAAGCGUUGUCCGGAAUUAUUGGGCGUAAAGAGCUCGUAGGCGGUUUGUUGCGUCGGCUGUGAAAUCCCGAGGCUCAACCUCGGGUCUGCAGUCGAUACGAGCAAACUAGAGUGUUGCAGGGGAGACUGGAAUUCCUGGUGUAGCGGUGAAAUGCGCAGAUAUCAGGAGGAACACCGGUGGCGAAGGCGGGUCUCUGGGCAGUAACUGACGCUGAGGAGCGGAAAGCGUGGGGAGCGAACAGG